rnacentral:rRNA from 1 species
CCUACGGGCGGCUGCAGUGGGGAAUAUUGGACAAUGGGGGGAACCCUGAUCCAGCCAUGCCGCGUGUGUGAAGAAGGCCCUCGGGUUGUAAAGCACUUUCAGUGAGGAAGAACGCCUGGUGGUUAAUACCCAUCAGGAAAGACAUCACUCACAGAAGAAGCACCGGCUAACUCCGUGCCAGCAGCCGCGGUAAUACGGAGGGUGCGAGCGUUAAUCGGAAUUACUGGGCGUAAAGCGCGCGUAGGUGGCUUGAUAAGCCGGUUGUGAAAGCCCCGGGCUCAACCUGGGAACGGCAUCCGGAACUGUCAAUCUAGAGUGCAGGAGAGGAAGGUAGAAUUCCCGGUGUAGCGGUGAAAUGCGUAGAGAUCGGGAGGAAUACCAGUGGCGAAGGCGGCCUUCUGGACUGACACUGACACUGAGGUGCGAAAGCGUGGGUAGCAAACAGGAUUAGAUACCCUUGUAGUC